GAGUUUGAUCUUGGCUCAGAUUGAACGCUGGCGGCAUGCCUUACACAUGCAAGUCGAACGGCAGCACGGGAGCUUGCUCCUGGUGGCGAGUGGCGAACGGGUGAGUAAUGCAUCGGAACGUAUCCUGGAGUGGGGGAUAACGUAGCGAAAGUUACGCUAAUACCGCAUAUUCUGUGAGCAGGAAAGCGGGGGACCUUCGGGCCUCGCGCUCUUGGAGCGGCCGAUGUCGGAUUAGCUAGUUGGUGAGGUAAAGGCUCACCAAGGCGACGAUCCGUAGCAGGUCUGAGAGGAUGAUCUGCCACACUGGAACUGAGACACGGUCCAGACUCCUACGGUAGGCAGCAGUGGGGAAUUUUGGACAAUGGGGGCAACCCUGAUCCAGCCAUGCCGCGUGAGUGAAGAAGGCC
rnacentral:rRNA from 1 species